rnacentral:rRNA from 1 species
GACGAACGCUGGCGGCGUGCUUAACACAUGCAAGUCGAACGGAAAGGCCCUGCUUUUGUGGGGUGCUCGAGUGGCGAACGGGUGAGUAACCCGUGAGUAACCUUCCCUUGACUUUGGGAUAACUUCAGGAAACUGGUGCUAAUACCUGAUAGGAGCUCCUGCUGCAUGGUGGGGAUUGGAAAGUUUCGGCGGUUGGGGAUGGACUCGCGGCUUAUGAGCUUGUUGGUGGGGUAGUGGCUUACCAAGGCUUUGACGGGUAGCCGGCCUGGGAGGGUGACCGGGCACAUUGGGACUGAGAUAGGGCCCAGACGCCAACGGGAGGCAGCAGGGGGGAGUAUGGCACAAUGGGCGGAAGCCUGAGACAGAAACGCUGGGAGCGGGAAGAAGGCCUUGGGGUUGUAAACCGCUGUAGCCUGUGACGAAGCGUGAGUGACGGUAAUGGGUAAAGAAGCACCGGCUAACUACGUG